rnacentral:tRNA from 2 species
GUCUCCGUAGCUCAGUGGAUAGAGCACUGGUUUCCGGUACCAAAGGUCGCAGGUUCGAAUCCUGUCGGGGACA